CUCAUUUUUGUGGUUUUGCUUCCCUUCUUGUGGUGGCCCCCCCUCUUUUUUUUUUUCUCUCCGUAAUGGCGUAUGGGAAAGAAUCUUAUCUAAUCCAUCAUUACUUCCUGCUUCCAAAUGUUUGUUUCUGCCGCUCGCUCCACUCACAUACACACACGCACGCUAUAUAUAUAUAUAUAUAUUUCUUUUUUUUUUUUGGGGGGGGGGUGUGAUUGGGGUGUGGGUGGGGACAUUUGCUAUUUAUCGUUACCUGGAAGACUGGAAUUUUAUAUCUUUUAUUUAUAAUGCUUAAAAUUAUGCAUUUAAUGGCCAUACUUUGGUAGCCGUUUUCAAAUUUCAGGUUCAUCUAUUUGAGAACAACAGAAGUCAGGUUUGAAGGGUGCAGCUCAACAUCAGGCUCCAUAAUGGAAUGGCAUCAAAUAUAGGUAUUCAAUUCUAAACUUACGUUUCCUUAAAAAGGUCAAUUUUCAGUAAUCUAUUAGUUAGUUAACUGUAUUUUAGAAAAAAAUUUACUCAAAAAGAAAGGAUUUAAACCCAUAUUUGUGAAUGAGUGAGAGUAUUUUUGGUUGGUGGGUCAUAGCCAUAGGUGACAAAGAUGAGUGUGUAGGGGCUAAAAGCAAAGGCAGAGAGUCCUCACCUAAGUCCUCUUCCCUUCUCUUACAAAAUAACACUGUGUGAAGGGUAACUUUCAUAGCCUGCAAAUUGCAAAUGCACAGCAGAGCAGAGAGGAAGAAGAGAAGGAAUUGGCAUGUGCCUUUGCUUUGUGCUUUUUCAUUGGAAGUGAGCCCCAGUGGUCCUAAGCUUUCUAACUAACGCCUUUUCUCUGCAUUGAUGAAUUGAUGAUUAUGACUGCCCUUCUCUAUUCUCUUCCUUCUCUUCACUCUUCUUAAAUGAGGCCUUCUUCACAAGAAACCACUCUUUAUGUGCUAGACAAUGACCUCCAUUUAAUCCUUUCCUUUACAUCUCUUGUCCUGUCCCGUCGGUCCCAUCGGCCAUCUCGUACUGUCCCGUCCCGUCCCCCGUUUUUUUCUCUCUUUGCUGUUGAUGAAAAAACAAAAUAGGGUAGGGAGGGAUUGAAUUUUGCUUAUUCAACUACUAUUACCUUUUCAAGGAGAGUCAAAUUUUCGAUUGACUUAAAAGUUUAAGUUGACGAUUGAAGACAAAUUUUAAAUUAUAUCAUCUAAACACUCUCGUUCCUGAGUUUGAAAUACAUAAUUCUUAUUAUUCAAACUGUCUAGAUAAAAAUUAACUUUGAGUAACCUUAUGUUGGAUGAAACAUGAACUGAGGAAUGUGAUAACUAAGUCUAAAGUGAAAGUAAAUAUCAAAAUGUUGUUUUAAGUGGCAAAUAGUGAAAACUGGUCUCUAAUCGGACCAAUUAAUUAAGAUCUCACACUGUUGGAAUUGUGAAAAUAUCGAUAUGUUAAUUUCAUUUCAUGGUAGGUGGUUAGUCUAGUCUAGUCUUUGACACCCUUUGCCUUCAACUCAGAUUCGAUUUGAUUUUCUUUGGUCUUGUUCACGAACCAUUAGUCUAAACUGUAAAUUAAUUUUAGAAAAAUUAUUUUAAAUUACAAAAUUUCUAAAAAAAAUUGCAAAUGGCAAAUAAAUCAUGAAAAGUGUUUUUUUUUCUUCUAUUUUUUUAUUUUUAAUUUGCAAGUUGCAAAUAUGGCUAAAAUUGUAGGUUAAUGUUCAAACACGUGAAAUAAAAUAUUCUUCUCAUGGGUCAUUUUUGUCCUUUUGAGGAAAAAAAAUGUAGUUUUCCAUUUUUCAUUCAUUCGUUAUUAUUAUUAUUGAAACCCACUUUUUUAUUUUCCCCUUUUAUUUCAGUUGAUUUUGAAUCUAGUAGAUUUUAGUUAAAUUUUCUUUUAACGAAGUAGGUUUUGGCGUUAUGAAUGUCAUUUGUAUGUAGUUGAAAUAGCAAGAUGGAUGGUUUGACUCUAAAAUUUUAAAUGAGAUGGAUAUAUAUAUAUAGUAGAAAUUUUAUUUUAUUAUUUAUCAAUGUUUGCAAACGUUUAUUAAUUGCAGAUUGCAGUUUCAAGAAAAUUUAGAAAAGAAAAAACAAAAAUAUAACUUAUAAGAUUAAACAAAUAUUAUAUUGAAUUUUCAACAAAUAGAUAAAGGUAUAAUAUUAAAUAUAGAAUAGAAACUUAAAGAUAACAUUUGAAAAAUAGCUCGUGAAAAAAAUUGGGUGGCAGCUUGCUUUUGGUCCGAUGCAAACAUGAAGUGGAAUAUCCAACGGUGAAAAGUCCAUUUUUAUUUUUUCAAAAAAAUGUGAAACGGUGAAAUUAUAUAUAUUAUUAAUAAUGUUUGUUUGAAAA